rnacentral:rRNA from 1 species
AGUGAACGCUGGCGGCGUGCUUAACACAUGCAAGUCGAACGGACGAAAUAAGCUUGCUUAUUUCGUUAGUGGCGCACGGGUGAGUAAUGUAUAGCUAACCUGCCCUUUAGUGGGGGACAACAGUUGGAAACGACUGCUAAUACCCCAUACUCCUUCUUAUCGUAAGAUAAGUUGGGAAAGAUUUAUUGCUAAAGGAUGGGGCUUUAUGGUAUCAGCUAGUUGGUGGGGUAAUGGCCUACCAAGGCGAUGACGCCUACCUGGUCUGAGAGGAUGAUCAGGCACACUGGAACUGAGACACGGUCCAGACUCCUACGGGAGGCAGCAGUGGGGAAUAUUGCACAAUGGGGGAAACCCUGAUGCAGCAACGCCGCGUGGAGGAUGACGCAUUUCGGUGUGUAAACUCCUUUUGUGUGGGAAAAAGUUAUUGAUUGUACCAUACGAAUAAGGGGAUCCUAAUUCUGUGCCAGCAGCCGCAGUAA